UUGAAUAAACUUGAACAGGUUGUUGCUGACUCCCCAGUAGGGGGUAAGUGCACGCUUGUCAUCUUUAUUUCUCCAACUGUGCACACACUGUAGACUUGAAAGAGGAUUGCUGUGCUUUGUGAAACAGAGUCAGCUUUGCCUUGCAUAUUUUUAGGUCUAUGUUAUUUCACAAUCUCUGAAAUGUAUUGGAAUGUGUGGAAUAUAUGAAUAUAUAUAUA
rnacentral:misc_RNA from 1 species